CUAGUGUUCAUGAAACCCUGGGUUCUAUCCCAGCACUACAAAAAGGAACACAGUAGUAUUAAGAGAGGUCACUUGUCUGUUGCUCAUUUGGAACACUGAAUGCUAGCAUCUAUGGUUUCCCUUGUUGUGUAACUAGACUCUGUGAGGAUAGAAGAGUCUAAAUGCCCUUUGCUCUCUUUGGGUAACUGAACUCUUAAAUGCUCAUUUCCAGAGCAGUGACUGAUCAAGCUUGGUGCACUGUGAGCUUUUGUGAUCAUUUUCCAGCAAUAGCUUUAUUUGUACAAUCUCACACCUGAAGAAGAAAGAAAAAUGGCUUGUACUGAAUUUUCUUUUCAUAUGCCAAGUCUAGAGGAGUUUGCUGAAGUUAUGCAAAAGGGGCUAAAAGAUAACUUUGCUGAUGUGCAGGUCUCUGUAGUUGAUUGCCCUGAUUUGACUAAAGAACCAUUUACCUUUCCUGUAAAAGAUGAGAGCUGUGAGGGCUGAGAAGACUCAAUGU